rnacentral:rRNA from 1 species
CCCUUAGAUGUUCUGGGCUGCACGCGUGCUACACUGAUAUUGCCAAUAUGUCAUUCUUAUCAGAAAUGGAUUGGGUAAUCAAGUAAUGAAAUUUCAUGCUUGGAAUCGGUAAUUGCAAUUUUAUCGUGAACGAGGAAUUCCUAGUAAGCACUAGUCAUCAGCUAAUGUUGAUUAUGUCCCUGCCCUUUGUACACACCGCCCGUCGCUACUACUGAUUGGGUGUUCAAGUGAGAUGCUUAGACCCUUGUUGCAUGGUUCAUUAUUGUGCUCCGAAAGGAAAAAGUUUCAAGCUUGAGUGUCUAGAGGAAGUAAAAGUCGUAACA